UUGUACGUGGAGAUCAUUGUGACAUGCACCGCAAAACUUUCGUAUCCACUCCACCUGACGUUUACCUACUUGUCGACCGAGUUUUGGUCUGUCGUCCUGCAAACACACAAGUAUUAAAUAUAUUAUGUGCUGCACAUAUUAAUAAUUUGUUUACAUCACGACGACUUAAUUUUUUUAUUUUUUGUUUUUCUCUUGAGGUUUUUUUUUUUUUGUCUAGCCAGUCGUCUUGUAGGCGCACACGCGUCACAGAGUUCGUUCGACCAUCUAAUAAGUCAAAACGUGCGCGAGUUUUCGAAUAUAAAACAGCCUAUAUCUGUCCAUCUUAGAGGUACACCGAGGUGUGGACAAUGUAGAACUAGCACUACAAAUUGCAGUCUAACUAAUUGCAAAAAUGUGUACGUGAUUUAAUUUAUUGUUCGAUGAUAAGUUAUGAUGUUUUUAACGUACGCUAAAUUAUCAUGAAGACGUAUAAUAUGAAUUCUGCAACAUAGGCCGGUCAUUGAGCAAUGUUGUCAAUAAUAACAUUUUGAAAAAUAGCAGCUGAAGUCUACAUUUUCAGACCGAGCAAAAUUAGAAAAUUCUUCUGGACUAUAAUUCAAUUUUUAGCGAGGCCAUUUGUUUGGACAGUCCUAUUGAAACGCAAUCGUUGUCAAUAACAUCAUAUUAUUAUAAUGAAAUAGCGUUAGUUCGAGAGACGUUUGCUUGUAUAAUAUUUUAUUAUAUAGCUUCGUAGUAGCGUCCGACUUAUGCGCGACAAUAACAUUAGUGAACCUACCUCUAUGCGCACUUUCCUUUGGAUGUUCGUCUAGAUCUUAGGCACGUACUUAGACAAUAAUAAAAUAUGUGUGCGUGCCGCCGUAUAAUAAUAUUAUAAUCGUUAAUCGUGGAUCGCCGACAAUGCAGUAUAUCCGAAGGAAGAAGGCGGAGUAGAAAAUUGUGACGGAGAAGCGAUCGACGGCCAAAAAAAAAAAAAAAAACACAAAAUAUAAUAACAGACUUUUAUACAAUUCGAUCAGUACAUAAUGCAUUAUACUAUCUAAAGCGUACUGGGUGAUGAAGUGCGUGGUACGGAAUCGAGUAGGAAAGUGCUCGUCGACACAAUGGUGGACACUAAUCGAGAUAACAAGAACACUAUAGCAAGUAAAGGCAUACUGAAACGGCGCAUUUUCGUCCGAAACGAUAAGCCGACUCAGACCACAUCAGCCAAACUACUUCAAGACACUAGUGACUGUUGUAUGGCAAACACGUGCAAACGAUGCGUAACGUUCGACGAAACGAUCACAAUUAAGAAUGACGAGGACUUAGUGGUAAGGAAGCCGCUGAAAUUGGAACUUGUCAUCGAUAACUGGAAGUCGAACGUUGCUGAAACACACACCGAUACGAUUCAACCCGAUACCGGUAUCGUUAAACGUCUUGUCGAAGAAUUCAACACUAUUGAAGAGCCGUUAACCGAUAAUUUCAAAAUCGAAUCUACACCGAUUAAGGAAGACAAGCCAGUGAAAAGCUGUACAAAUAUCCCACUCUGCGAAGCCUUGAAAACAGUCAACUUAACCACUGACGACCAUUAAGCGGAAAAUGCUGUUUUCUAUAGAACGUAUAUUUCUAGCAUUACUAGUUUCGACAAAAUAAACGUCUACAAAAGUGCAUUUAUUAAUGCCUCCGUCCAAUGUAUAUUAUUUAUGCAUGAAUACGUAUAUAUAUUUGUUUUAUAGCAAGCGUCAUCGCCAAAGUUAAUUAAUGGUAAAUCGUCGUUACGUGGUCGACCCCAAAGAUAUGGAAGAGUAAACGAUCUUAUUAAUAUGUUCAAUUCAAAAUAAGACGACGACAAUACGGAAAAGUUUGAAAUCAAAUUUAUUUGUUUUAGACAGUAUUAAGAAAAACAUGUUAUAUGAAUACAUAAUAUCCAUAGAUAUAAAUAAAUGUAAAUAUAAUUUUAUAAAUGUCGUUGUUGACAAUUAUCUACAACGCCAUCCACAUCAAACUGUAUAAUUGAAAUGUGAAAUUAUAUUUUAUGUAAGUACUAUAAUACAAUAACAAUAUUUCCUCAAAUUAUAUAAGAAUAUUAUAAUUACGCUUGUUAUAUUGUAGCGAUAAUUAUUUAGUUUUUUGAAAAAUGUUGACCAAAUUGUAAUAAUUCGUAAAUUCGAAUGAUUUAAUAUAAUUUACAAAAAGAUGUUCAAUGUUCAAACUUUUUUUUAAAUAAUGAUUGACGUGCUAAACUAUCAAACCUCAUUUAGUUUUAAUAAUUAUAAUAUUAUGAACUAAUAAAAACUUUGUAUGAUAUUUAAUAAAUGGGUAUAGAUAUGCCAAU